GUCUCAUUUUGGGCUCUUUGUUUCUCUCUUUCUCUCUCUCUAUCAAACUCUUCGCUCAUUGUUUUUCUAAAAAUUUCUUUUGUUCCUAAAAUGUAAAUUUCAUCUUUGAUUUGUGAAUCUCAAAUAAAUGAAGCUUCAUUUCUGCCGUUAGGUUUCUUUAAAGUGGCGUUGCUUGACAUUUCAGUUCGAUUCAUGGAGUUCUUAACCAAGUAUUUGAAUACACAAGUUGGGUUUAGCUUACUCUAAAGGUCCAACUUUGCUUUAGAAAGUCUUCAACUAUGAUCGAAGCAGUUCCCUGUUCAAGAUGAUAUUUAGUUUUUCACCCUUUUGUAAUGGCGGUCUUUUUUAUAAAGGAACCUCCCUGCUUGGUUUCUGGGUGGAAAAAGGUUAUAUAUGCUGAAACACGAUUACAUAAGGAAGAGGACUUUGAGCCUAGCUUUCCUGGAACAAUAUACAGCCCCCAGUUCUUACAAAUCUAAGAUCAUAAAGGACUCUAUUUACAUUAGCUCUGUACAACCUUAUCAUUCCUAAAUUAGACAUGUAUUCUUUUUAGUUUUCAAAAUUGGUAUUUCCUUUUUGCUGUUUACACCUGGAAGAUGAGAAUUGCAAGUAAUUUAUCCAUCCU